rnacentral:lncRNA from 1 species
GGCUUACGGACCGUAAGCAAUAUACCCAUACGGUCCAUAAGUAGUGGAGAUUAAAAUUUUUAUUGAAGCCUUACGGACAGUAAGCCUUCGGGCCAUACGGUCCGCAAGAGGGACACGGAACAUGAUUUUGGUUAGCCUUACGGACCGUAAGCCGUAGGGCCAUAUGGUCCGUAUCCAUAUCGGUUUUGCGAAAAAAAUAGCUUUUAAAACCUUACGACCUUAGGGUUUGCAUAUCUCGCAUACCAGACGGCAAAGGGCAAGUUGAGGAUGAUCUUGGAGCAUCUUGAAGCUGAUCAAAGGUCUUGGAAGCAUUUGGUUCGUGUUUGGAGCGUAUUGGCUAAACUUCUAAACUACUUAGGUUGAGAU